AUUCCAGCUCCAAUAGCGUAUAUUUAAGUUGUUGCAGUUAAAAAGCUCGUAGUUGGACUUCGGUUGAGAGCGGCCGGUCCGCCGUUUGGUGUGCACUGGCUGGUUUCAGCUUCCUGCAGAGGACGCGCUCUGGGCUUAAUCGUCUGGACGUGGAGUCUGCGUGGUUACUUUGAAGAAAUUAGAGUGUUCAAAGCGGGCUUACGCUUGAAUAUUUCAGCAUGGAAUAACACUAUAGGACUCCUGUCCUAUUUCGUUGGUCUCGGGACGGGAGUAAUGAUUAAGAGGAACAGUUGGGGGCAUUCGUAUUUCAAUGUCAGAGGUGAAAUUCUUGGAUUUUUGAAAGACGAACUUCUGCGAAAGCAUUUGCCAAGGAUGUUUUCAUCG
rnacentral:rRNA from 1 species